rnacentral:lncRNA from 1 species
AUCCUUAGGAUAGGAUAGAUUGAUACCAGGGGUCGACCAUUUGUGAGACAGGGUCUAAAUCAAAUCUUUGGCCACUAAAAUGAUGCCCUAGGAAAAAAUAGGGUUUCAUUUAAAAAUCAAAGAUUAGUAUUUGAAAGCUAGCUUGAAGUUCUUUCCAAAGACAUAAGAAUUGUCUUGAAAGGAUUUUAGAGGACUUAGAAAUUAUUGUUCAAAGUCAGGGUUUGUAUCAAUGAUUUGGAUUUUAUAUAAUAUAAUUAGGGCUAGCAAUCUUGGCUAGUUAGUGCAAUUGGUGUGACAUCUAUGAUUGAAAACUUGUUACUAUUUGGAUUAUUAGAUGUGCUAAGUGUAUACAAAAUUUUGUAAUGAUCUAAUGGUGUGGUUUAGAGAUAUCUAGUUUUUAGCACAAGAGGGUUUCAGAAGGUGGCAGUUUGAGGUUGGAUAGGAUUUCUAUGAUGUCUAAAGAUUUAUUUGUCGAAUUAAGGUGAAAAUUGGCAUGGUGUUAGAG